GGGUUGUGAGGUUAAGCGACUAAGCGUACACGGUGGAUGCCCUGGCAGUCAGAGGCGAUGAAGGACGUGCUAAUCUGCGAUAAGCGUCGGUAAGGUGAUAUGAACCGUUAUAACCGGCGAUUUCCGAAUGGGGAAACCCAGUGUGUUUCGACACACUAUCAUUAACUGAAUCCAUAGGUUAAUGAGGCGAACCGGGGGAACUGAAACAUCUAAGUACCCCGAGGAAAAGAAAUCAACCGAGAUUCCCCCAGUAGCGGCGAGCGAACGGGGAGCAGCCCAGAGCCUGAAUCAGUGUGUGUGUUAGUGGAAGCGUCUGGAAAGGCGCGCGAUACAGGGUGACAGCCCCGUACACAAAAAUGCACAUACUGUGAGCUCGAUGAGUAGGGCGGGACACGUGGUAUCCUGUCUGAAUAUGGGGGGACCAUCCUCCAAGGCUAAAUACUCCUGACUGACCGAUAGUGAACCAGUACCGUGAGGGAAAGGCGAAAAGAACCCCGGCGAGGGGAGUGAAAAAGAACCUGAAACCGUGUACGUACAAGCAGUGGGAGCACGCUUCGGCGUGUGACUGCGUACCUUUUGUAUAAUGGGUCAGCGACUUAUAUUCUGUAGCAAGGUUAACCGAAUAGGGGAGCCGAAGGGAAACCGAGUCUUAACUGGGCGUUAAGUUGCAGGGUAUAGACCCGAAACCCGGUGAUCUAGCCAUGGGCAGGUUGAAGGUUGGGUAACACUAACUGGAGGACCGAACCGACUAAUGUUGAAAAAUUAGCGGAUGACUUGUGGCUGGGGGUGAAAGGCCAAUCAAACCGGGAGAUAGCUGGUUCUCCCCGAAAGCUAUUUAGGUAGCGCCUCGUGAAUUCAUCUCCGGGGGUAGAGCACUGUUUCGGCAAGGGGGUCAUCCCGACUUACCAACCCGAUGCAAACUGCGAAUACCGGAGAAUGUUAUCACGGGAGACACACGGCGGGUGCUAACGUCCGUCGUGAAGAGGGAAACAACCCAGACCGCCAGCUAAGGUCCCAAAGUCAUGGUUAAGUGGGAAACGAUGUGGGAAGGCCCAGACAGCCAGGAUGUUGGCUUAGAAGCAGCCAUCAUUUAAAGAAAGCGUAAUAGCUCACUGGUCGAGUCGGCCUGCGCGGAAGAUGUAACGGGGCUAAACCAUGCACCGAAGCUGCGGCAGCGACACUAUGUGUUGUUGGGUAGGGGAGCGUUCUGUAAGCCUGUGAAGGUGUGCUGUGAGGCAUGCUGGAGGUAUCAGAAGUGCGAAUGCUGACAUAAGUAACGAUAAAGCGGGUGAAAAGCCCGCUCGCCGGAAGACCAAGGGUUCCUGUCCAACGUUAAUCGGGGCAGGGUGAGUCG
rnacentral:rRNA from 1 species